rnacentral:lncRNA from 1 species
AAGUAGCACCAUUCACCUGAUAAGUGUCUAUUCUUUUGUUCUUUACUCCACUCUGUAUCAAUUUACUUAGAACAUCCAUAACCAUGUCAAAUAGAAUAGGAGAUAGAGGAUCACCCUGUCUAAUCCCCCUCUGGCUUUUGAAGGGAGGCGUUGGAGUCCCUUCCACCAGUACCGAAAAAGAUGCAGAGGAUAUGCAAUUCCAAAUCAUUUUGCAGAAUAUAGGAGAAAAUCCAUACGCUUCAAGGGUGACAAUUAUAGCCUCCCAACUGACUGUGUCAAAAGCUUUUUUAAGAUUUAUACUCAAGCAACACCUCUUGGGAGUUCUCUUUCUUCCAAAGUCAUGCACCAUCUCAUCCGCUAGAAUGGUAUAAAUCAAGGUAUUGAUGUUCAUAAAAUAAUAUAGAACUGGUAUGCAUACAAUAUACAAAUAUCAAGUGGUAUAAGUCAAGACACACCUGGAAAGCAAGCAAAUACCCAUUUUAGACAAAAUCUUCA